UUUUGGAGGUAAAGGAUAUUUAUGGUAUAGAUUGUGUUGAUGGUUUCACAGGUAUAUACAUAUCUCCAAACACAUCAAGUUGUAUACAUUAACCAUCUACAGCUUUUUGUAUGUCAAUCUACCCCAAAAAAGAGGUUUUAGAAAAAAAACUAAUAGUAGGAGUAAAAAGACAGAGAAUUGAAAAAAAAUAAUAAAUAAAUAAGGAUUUGCAAUGGCUAUGCACCUAUUAGUCAGAUUUGUCUCCUUCAUCCUCUUGCCUUGCUCCCCCCAUCAUCUCACUCACAUAUUCCCACUCCCUUUCUCACUCGGUUCCUCACCUGCUUCACCAAUCUCUUUCUUGACAUUCUCAUGGGUCUCCUAAAUCAUUUCUCUAAGUUCCCUAUAAACUUCAACUCUGUCCUUCUCUGGAGCCAGGCAUUAUUUCUUAGAGGCUGUCAGGCCCAAGUUUAUAAUGCGAUCUCUUCCGUAGAGACCAUCCCCUCCCACAAAUAUAAAUCUGCCAUCACGAAAUAAAGAUGUAGGUUUUAAUCCUGGCAUUUUAUUCUCUGCUCCUGACUACUUUGUAAUUUGGGACAGGUGAAUUCUAAUAUCGGUAUUUCGAUGCCUUCUUGUGUUUGUUGUUCUGAGGGACUAGAGAGCUACAAACAUUUUAUAAAUAGCCCGCUUCAUUUGGCUGGCCCCUGAAUUCCCCAGAUGUCAGGACACCAGUUAAAAUAAUUUCUGAUGGCCUGAACCUGUUAUCACUUCAGGCUCUGAGCCCGGACCUUUGCAAAUCAGUCAGCAGAGAGGCGGUUUACUAUUCUCACAUUUUUAAAGGCUUCUUCUGUUAAUAUUGCUUGACCAGAUUUUCUUUCGCUAGAAGGCAUGAGAUCAGUGUUGUGACAUCUAACAACGGCUUUUGCUCCUCGUCCCGCAGUGUCUGGGGAAUUGGUCAACUCUGCCUGCCUCUGCGCCCUGUUUUUCACUGCUUUCUCUCCUGGCCUCUGCUCCUCAUUCCCAGCACCAAGAAAGGCUGGGGUGGGGAGAGGGCGGGAAGUAUGUCCUUUCUAAUCUAUGCCUCUUCUUAUUUCUUUUCUGUGCAGUGUGUAUACACCCACUCCUAACUCAUUUUCAGCUUUUGGUCAAUAAUUCGCUCAAAUAUUUACGGAGUGUCUUCUAUGCACAGGCACCAGGCAGCAGCAAAUCAGAGCUUACAGUCAAACAGCCGGGGGCGGGAGAGCAGACAUUAAACAACUAUUUGUCCACUUAAUGAUUUAAUUAAAAUUUUCAGAAGUGAUAGACGGGAAAGAUGCUAUGAGAACAUGCAAGUGAUGACCCUGCCCUGUCCAGAAGGUCGGGGAGGGCUUUCAUGAAGAAGUAACCUUGAGUUGAGUAGAAAUUAAGGAACAAAGUGGCUAGAGGAGGAGACAGAGGGAAUCAGAGGGGCAGACCAAGAGGUGAAAAGGGUGUGGCCAUUGGAGGCCCUGAAAUAAGGCUCUGGGUGUAGAGUGCAGAGAACAAGGGGCAAGUGCCACAAGAUGAUGAUGGUGAGGCAGGCGGGGCUGGGUUUUGCACAGCCCAGCAGGCCAUAUUAUGGAUUUGGGGCUCUACCUGGAGUAAUGAAAUUUGAAAGAUUCCCAGUCAUCCAUAUCGCCAAUUUCAAGGUCAGCUCUGUAACAGAAGAAAACACAUCCACAUAUAUUGAGACAUAGCCCAAAUCCUAACACCAUUGACAAUUUAUAGGGAACUCCUCCAGCAGCUGCUGCUCUGAGGCUCUACUGUCCUGCCCAGGAAUGUCCCCGGUUACAUCAUGUUAACUGAAACAGCGUUGCGGACAGCAGUCCUGCUAAACGUGCUCAGUCUGGUCCCACCUUGGCCAGAGAUGAGGCUCCUGCCUUCGUGCCAGCAUCACCCCUCAGUGAGUCCAGACAUCUGAUGUACAGCAUGAUGAUUAUAGUUGAUAAUACUGUACUGAAUACUGGAAAUUUGCUAAGAGAGUAGAUUUCAGGUGCUCUCAUGACAAAAAAAAGUGGUAACUAUGGGAUGAGAUGACAAGUUACUUAACUUCACUUAGUAAUCAUUUCACUGUGUAUAUGCAUAUCUAAUCAUCAUGGUGUACACCUUAAAUAUAUACAAUUUUUGUUUUUUAACUAAAUUUAGUUUUUUAUAAAGAGGUUUAAGUCCUCGGCCUCCCAUCUGUGGGCACAUGCAAGGGCACUGGUGAUGUUCAUAAAUGAGAGGCAGAUGGGGCAUUGGACAGAGUCUCACUGCGCAGACGAUCAUGGCUCCAAAUGGAGCCUGCACUGGGCAUCAGGCUGACAGCUGACAGUGGGCGGUCUUUCCGGGUACCAGUGAGAUGACCUCAGGCUGCUUGGCUGCCAACCAGCAACCUGGAACAGGCCGCCUUGCUCGGGUGUUUUUUCAGUCUCACUUCUUUCCACUUGGUCCCAUAGCCCCCUCUUCUCUCUAGCCCGUAGCAUCCAUGUCAGAUGUCUUCCAUUCACCCCUUCAGAUCCACUCUCCAUCCUCUUCCUGGCUCUGUGUUCCAGAAGUUUGACACAUGUGGACUACAUCAACGAGCUCCCUUGCCCUCCAGUUUCCAGUUGAAGUCAGCCCAUGGGAAGCACUAGCAGGAGAGAAGAGAGUGCUCUGACAUACCACGCUGGACUUCUACGAGCUGAAAAGAUGAAAGACGUUCUCUUCUGUAGUGCAGAAUCAACCCACUUGGCUUUGCCACCACCCGACAGUGAAACGUCGCUAAACACAUGAAAAAACUUCCCAUACCCAGGAGAGCCGGGCCUUGACCCUGAAUCUCCAGGCUCUGAGAAAUCAGAGACAUGGUCCAUUCCAACGUCUGAGACCCCGAGAGAGAAAGCCCAAGGUCGAAGUGAGUUACUGCCACAUCCUGGGACCUGCAACUACCACAAACUCCUCAAGGCAGGAACAGAAACAAAAGCAUUCUUCAAGCCCAGAGUCUGCAGAGUCCCUGGCAAGAAAUAUUUGUUAAGUGGAUAAAUGAAUGAAUGAGAAAAAAAUAAAGGAGCUAAAGAUAAUAGUGGAUUAAAGUCACAGUAACUGUUUCCAAGAAGUUAGACUCCAAGAACCAGAAUCAAGGAUGCAGGCUCCAGGAUGGCCAAGGGGAGCGACAACCCCCGGCCUUCCAUAAAGCAGCAGUCUGCCCCCAGAAACAAGCGCAGCAUUGCCUGGAGCAGGAGAAGGGCGGCAAGGCUCCCAGCAAGCGGCCAGUCCAGCAGCUGCAGAGAAAGAGACAUUUUUGGAGUCAGAGACAAGUUGCAGGGUUUGUCCAUAGCCCUUUAAUUUUCUAUUACCCCGUGAUUCUUUCCACUUCGGUGACACUCCCAGAUGCUACGAACUGAGCUUUUGGAUCUCCCCAAGGAAUUCAGCAGUGUCAGAUCCUUAGACACAAGACACUCAAUCGUCGGAGGAAUUACUAAAGGGCUCUCCCACCACUGGUUCCAGGGAGGGCUUCCCACUGACAGCCAAAAUAAAAAAAGAAAAAAGGUGCUAAAACUCAGCUCACUUGCAUUUACACCUUGUAAACCUCAUUUGCAUGUGUCACAGCUAGGUUCCAGUGUGUGGAGCUGCAGAGACAGCCACCAAACGUUGCAUCCUGCCAACCCCUGGGCCUG
rnacentral:lncRNA from 1 species